rnacentral:tRNA from 1 species
GCCUCGUUAGCGCAGUAGGUAGCGCGUCAGUCUCAUAAUCUGAAGGUCGCGUGAGUUCGAUCCUCACACGGGGCA